rnacentral:rRNA from 1 species
UAAUUAAGCUAUAGAACCCUGAAAGUGCCUGAUUUUGUCUGACCUCAGAAGCUAAGCAAGGCUGGACCUGGCUAGCACUUGAAUGGGCGGGCGAUAACUCCUGGGCUCAAGUAA